AUUGAACGCUGGCGGAAUGCUUUACACAUGCAAGUCGAACGGGCUUGAGGGGCUUGCUCCUCAAGUUAGUGGCGAACGGGUGAGUAAUGCAUCGGAACGUACCUAGUCGUGGGGGAUAACGUAGCGAAAGUUACGCUAAUACCGCAUACGUCCUACGGGAGAAAGCAGGGGAUCGCAAGACCUUGCGCGAUUGGAGCGGCCGAUGUCUGAUUAGCUAGUUGGUGGGGUAAAGGCUCACCAAGGCGACGAUCAGUAGCGGGUCUGAGAGGAUGAUCCGCCACACUGGGACUGAGACACGGCCCAGACGCCUACGGGAGGCAGCAGUGGGGAAUUUUGGACAAUGGACGCAAGUCUGAUCCAGCAAUGCCGCGUGCGGGAAGAAGGCCUUCGGGUUGUAAACCGCUUUUGUCAGGGAAGAAAUCUUCUGGGUUAAUACCUCGGGAGGAUGACGGUACCUGAAGAAUAAGCACCGGCUAACUACGUGCCAGCAGCCGCAGUAAUAC
rnacentral:rRNA from 1 species